rnacentral:rRNA from 1 species
UGGGGAAUAUUGCGCAAUGGGGGCAACCCUGACGCAGCAACGCCGCGUGCGGGACGACGGCCUUCGGGUUGUAAACCGCUUUCAGCAGGGAAGAUAGUGACGGUACCUAACCAGAAAGCCACGGCUAACUACGUGCCAGCAGCCGCGGUAAUACGUAGGUGGCAAGCGUUGUCCGGAAUUAUUGGGCGUAAAGCGCGCGCAGGUGGUUUAGAAAGUCUGAUGUGAAAGCCCACGGCUCAACCGUGGAGGGUCAUUGGAAACUAAUAAACUUGAGUGCAGGAGAGAAAAGUGGAAUUCCUAGUGUAGCGGUGAAAUGCGUAGAGAUUAGGAGGAACACCGGUGGCGAAAGCGGCUUUUUGGCCUGCAACUGACACUGAGGCGCGAAAGCGUGGGGAGCAAACAGG